UACGAAGGGGGCUAGCGUUGCUCGGAAUCACUGGGCGUAAAGCGCUCGUAGGCGGAUUGUUAAGUCGGGGGUGAAAUCCUGGAGCUCAACUCCAGAACUGCCUUCGAUACUGGCAAUCUUGAGUCCGGGAGAGGUGAGUGGAACUCCGAGUGUAGAGGUGAAAUUCGUAGAUAUUCGGAAGAACACCAGUGGCGAAGGCGGCUCACUGGCCCGGUACUGACGCUGAGGUGCGAAAGCGUGGGGAGCAAACAGG
rnacentral:rRNA from 1 species